UACGUAGGGACCAAGCGUUGUUCGGAUUUACUGGGCGUAAAGGGCGCGUAGGCGGCAAUUCAAGUCAGCUGUGAAAUCUCUGGGCUUAACCCAGAACGGCCAGCUGAUACUGCUUUGCUAGAGUGCAGAAGGGGCAAUCGGAAUUCUCGGUGUAGCGGUGAAAUGCGUAGAUAUCGUGAGGAAGACCAGUUGCGAAGGCGGAUCUCUGGGCAGUUCCUGACACUGAGGCACGAAGGCCAGGGGAGCAAACGGG
rnacentral:rRNA from 1 species